GCGACAGGCUUAACACAUGCAAGUCGAGGGGCAGCACAGGUAGCAAUACCGGGUGGCGACCGGCGCACGGGUGAGUAACGCGUAUGCAACUUGCCUAUCAGAGGGGGAUAACCCGGCGAAAGUCGGACUAAUACCGCAUGAAGCAGGGGCCCCGCAUGGGGAUAUUUGCUAAAGAUUCAUCGCUGAUAGAUAGGCAUGCGUUCCAUUAGGCAGUUGGCGGGGUAACGGCCCACCAAACCGACGAUGGAUAGGGGUUCUGAGAGGAGGGUCCCCCACAUUGGUACUGAGACACGGACCAAACUCCUACGGGAGGCAGCAGUGAGGAAUAUUGGUCAAUGGGCGUAAGCCUGAACCAGCCAAGUCGCGUGAGGGAUGAAGGUUCUAUGGAUCGUAAACCUCUUUUAUAAGGGAAUAAAGUGCGGGACGUGUCCCGUUUUGUAUGUACCUUAUGAAUAAGGAUCGGCUAACUCCGUGCCAGCAGCCGCGGUAAUACGGAGGAUCCGAGCGUUAUCCGGAUUUAUUGGGUUUAAAGGGUGCGUAGGCGGCCUUUUAAGUCAGCGGUGAAAGUCUGUGGCUCAACCAUAGAAUUGCCGUUGAAACUGGGAGGCUUGAGUAUGUUUGAGGCAGGCGGAAUGCGUGGUGUAGCGGUGAAAUGCUUAGAUAUCACGCAGAACCCCGAUUGCGAAGGCAGCCUGCCAAGCCAUUACUGACGCUGAUGCACGAAGGCGUGGGGAUCAAACAGGAUUGGAUACCCUGGUAGUCCACGCAGUAAACGAUGAUCACUAGCUGUUUGCGAUACACUGUAAGCGGCACAGCGAAAGCGUUAAGUGAUCCACCUGGGGAGUACGCCGGCAACGGUGAAACUCAAAGGAAUUGACGGGGGCCCGCACAAGCGGAGGAACAUGUGGUUUAAUUCGAUGAUACGCGAGGAACCUUACCCGGGUUUGAACGCAUUUUGACAGCUCUGGAAACAGAGCCUCUAGCAAUAGCGAUUUGCGAGGUGCUGCAUGGUUGUCGUCAGCUCGUGCCGUGAGGUGUCGGCUUAAGUGCCAUAACGAGCGCAACCCUUGCCACUAGUUACUAACAGGUAAAGCUGAGGACUCUGGUGGGACUGCCAGCGUAAGCUGCGAGGAAGGCGGGGAUGACGUCAAAUCAGCACGGCCCUUACAUCCGGGGCGACACACGUGUUACAAUGGCGUGGACAAAGGGAGGCCACCUGGCGACAGGGAGCGAAUCCCCAAACCACGUCUCAGUUCGGAUCGGAGUCUGCAACCCGACUCCGUGAAGCUGGAUUCGCUAGUAAUCGCGCAUCAGCCAUGGCGCGGUGAAUACGUUCCCGGGCCUUGUACACACCGCCCGUCAAGCCAUGGGAGCCGGGGGUACCUGAAGUCCGUAACCGAAAGGAUCGGCCUAGGGUAAAACUGGUGACUGGGGCUAAGUCAUAACA
rnacentral:rRNA from 1 species